rnacentral:rRNA from 1 species
AUGCAAGUCGAACGCGAAAGGUUCCUUCGGGAACCGAGUAGAGUGGCGUCCGGGUGAGUAACACGUGGGUAAUCUACCUUCGGGUGGGGAAUAACGACCGGAAACGGUCGCUAAUACCGCAUAAUGCAGCGGCACCUAAUGGUGACAGUUGUUAAAGCGGGGGAUCGCAAGACCUCGCGCCUGAAGAGGAGCCCGCGGCGGAUUAGCUAGUUGGCAGGGUAACGGCCUACCAAGGCGACGAUCCGUAGCCGGCCUGAGAGGGCGGUCGGCCACACUGGCACUGACACACGGGCCAGACUCCUACGGGAGGCAGCAGUCGGGAAUUUUGGGCAAUGGGCGAAAGCCUGACCCAGCAACGCCGCGUGAAGGAUGAAGCUUUUCGGAGUGUAAACUUCAUAAGAAUGGGACGAAUAAGGAGGGGUUAAUACCCCCUUUGAUGACGGUACCAUUUGUAAGCUCCGGCUAACUCCGUGCCAGCAGCCGCGGUAAUACGGGGGGAGCAAGCGUUGUUCGGAUUUACUGGGCGUAAAGGGCGCGUAGGCGGCGUAACAAGUCACUUGUGAAAUCUCCGGGCUUAACCCGGAGCGGCCAAGUGAUACUGUUGUGCUAGAGUGCGGAAGGGGCUACUGGAAUUCUCGGUGUAGCGGUGAAAUGCGUAGAUAUCGAGAGGAACACCUGCGGCGAAGGCGGGUAGCUGGGCCGACACUGACGCUGAGGCGCGAAAGCCAGGGGAGCGAACGGGAUUAGAUACCCCGGUAGUCCUGGCCUUAAACGAUGGAUACUUGGUGUCCGGGGUUACAUAGUCCCCCGGGUGCAGGCGCUAACGCAUUAAGUAUCCCGCCUGGGGAGUACGGUCGCAAAACUGAAACUCAAAGGAAUUGACGGGGAACCCGCACAAGCGGUGGA